AUUAUAUUUUUGUUAAUUACUAAAGAUGUGUAAUAACAUGAUUGUGGUAUAAUAAUGAUCUGUUUAAUUAAUACAGGUACCAGAAGUGAUGGCACAGGAUGCCAAAAUGGAGAAGAACAAAUUGAAGUUAUGGCACAACCCUUUUUUAUUGACAAUAAAGAGUACUACACACAGUCACAUUUAAUUUUUUAACACUACAGUACAUUAAAUCUAAAUGUACAUCUUUGUGUCUAAAUGUAGUAUGUCCAUGUUUGUACAAUUGUAUAGCAGGGACUGAGAGAGCAG